rnacentral:rRNA from 1 species
UACGGAUGGAGCUAGCGUUGUUCGGAAUUACUGGGCGUAAAGCGCGCGUAGGCGGUCCAUCAAGUCAGAGGUGAAAGCCCGGGGCUCAACCCCGGAACUGCCUUUGAAACUGGCGGACUAGAAUCUUGGAGAGGCGAGUGGAAUUCCGAGUGUAGAGGUGAAAUUCGUAGAUAUUCGGAAGAACACCAGUGGCGAAGGCGACUCGCUGGACAAGUAUUGACGCUGAGGUGCGAAAGCGUGGGGAGCAAACAGGAUUAGAGACCCUGGUAGUCCACGCCGUAAACGAUGGGUGCUAGGUGUGGAGGGCUACAAUCCUCCGUGCCGCAGUUAACGCAAUAAGCACUCCGCCUGGGGAGUACGGCCGCAAGGCUAAA